GUCAGGAUGGCCGAGUGGUCUAAGGCGCCAGACUCAAGGCGUACCGCGCCUUCCCAUGGCGGUUGGGUAUUCUGGUCUCCGAAUGGAGGCGUGGGUUCGAAUCCCACUUCUGACA
rnacentral:tRNA from 2 species